CAAAGGUAGGAGAAGGUAGAAAAGUACAUACUAUUAUUAUUUAAAAAUGCAUAAUAUUACAAUAUAAUAAUUAUAUUAUAUUACAUAUUAUUAUUAUUAAAAUCUUUAAGUUGCAUAGAAGGUGAUGUCCAGGUACUGAUACAACAGGAAUGGGAAAGGCUUCUCAGGGUCUGAUGGGAAAGAAAUCAGCAGAGUGUGUUAAACAGAUAAAUGGGACAGAGGAAGAUGUUCUAGGCAGAAAUAUGCCGGAAAUAUUUUGAAGCAGAGUCCUGGCAAAGUGUUUUCAAUGUUGUUGUUAGUAAGGUUUGAAUAACACUGGUGUAUCUUGACCUUGGCUUCGGGCUUUCAAGCAAGUGAAAUUAUGUGCUGGUAUGACCCAUGACUUCAGAGAGGUGUCCCUUUCCUGUGCCUGUGCUAAGGGGCUAGAAAGUCACCCAAUCUGUGUUGCUUGCUCCUUUGAAACGACUCAGUAGUGUAAGAGAUAACUACAUCUGUUUUCAGACAAUAAAACUUGAUAUAAUUCCUUGGGGAAAAUCCUCCCUCAGUGUGUGCAUGUAGAUCAUCUGCACAUUUCACAGGAAAUAUAUGCUGGUCAGCAUAAGUUCUGUAAAUUUAAUAAUAAUAAUUAAAAAUGUAGGCAAAUCUAUUUUAGCUCUGCCUUUUCCUCAGUGAGGACUAAUUGGGAUUUGCAUGUUAUGAAGACUUUUUAAAGAUGUGAGCUGAUAUUUGUGCCAGUUUUGCACGCUGGAGUUCAAAAUCAGAUUGAUUCUUUCUGAGACUGGUAGGUCAGGAUUGUCAAGCCCUUCCUUCCACUUGUCCUUGUUCACUGGAGCUAUUUUCUUGUGAGAGUGGCUCUGUAUUGCAGGGAUCAGAGCAUUCCAUGCACUGCACUACCAUUUCUGCAGGUGCCUGCAGCAAUGAAGGAGCAAGCCUUGGCAAUUCUCCCUGGUAAGAGUCUGUUCUCAUGGGUAAAUGACACAGCCAUGGAAGUGGAGCCUCAGAUUGCUCCUGCAUCUCUGCAGACACACUUGCAGAGAAAAUAUUCUGGUCCUAGGAAAACACCAUUCCCUUCAGCUGACAGGCUCUGCAAUGAAAGCCUGGGGGAGCUGCAAGAAGUGAAAUUCAGAUUGCCUUCAUUUUAUCAAAAUAUUUAUCAAAAUAAAACUACUUUUUUUUCCCCUGCAGAAAAUUCAUGUUUCCAUUGCUAGUUGAUUUUACCCAAUUCAUCCUAAACCAUGCAGAUUUUUUUGGUGAGGUGUUGUUUUUCGUUACAUGCAAAUGCAAUUUCCCCUGAAUAAAAAUUCUCCAUUUGUACUGUACUAUUAUUGUUGGGUUUUUUACCUAACUUGCUAAAUUUAUAAAUGGAAACCUUCAGCAAUGAAUAAACUAUUCUCAGACAAAAAAAAAUACCUAAUGCAAGUGCUGUACUUUUUAUCUCUAUGUUGAGUUUCUCUAUUGAGCUAUACUUGACAAAUACUUGAAUUACUGAGAUGUUGGUUUUUCAAACACCAAAACAAAUUUGCCACUGAUUAUGGCCACCUGGAAAUGUCCUGGAGAAACAUUUUGCUUCACAAGGCUGGAUUUGCUGCUAACAGUACAAACUUAUUUCCUGUUUAUUUGUUGAAAUAACUGUGCUUAUUUCUGUAAAUUUGGACUAGGACUAGUUUAUUUCACAUCACUAAUGGGUAGCUCACAAAAUAGCCAUUAAAAGUUUUCAGAUUAUUAAAAAUACUGAAGGGGAAAUAAAAAUUUAUCACUACAUCAUUAAUUUAACCAUAAUUCUUUACCUUCCUAUAGGCCAAUGUCAACACCUUUAAAGCAAGCUCUGAAGGCAAAGUCAAUGAGUUGUGUUUUGGAAGGUUUCUGAUUUAAUUUAAAUCCAUGCAAAUCCAGUGUAACACCAUUCAAGUGUAUCAAUAAUUGAAAAAACGUUCCACUGAAAUUAGUUUUAUAUGUGGGGGAAAUACUUUUUUUUUUUUUUUUACAAAACUAGUCAUCCUUUAAAAAAGCCCAGCCAAGAAGAACAAUGGUCUGAUUUUCAUGGGAAAUUUUAACAAAAAGUGAUGUAAUAUUACUUCUCUGUAUUCUCAUAUGGUAUAUAAAAUAAUCCUACAGGAAUCUGGAGCUUUUUAAUGACUGGCAACAGCUCCAAUAUCCUUGAUAUGUGUCAUGGCAUGGAUUAUUGCUCAAAUCAAUGCGCAGCAAUUUCCAGUCAAGGGAAACAACUGUCCAUUGGUUUGCUCUGAUACAUUUUCAGAGUAUCCCUACAGCCUCCCAUGGAUGUGCAGCUGCUCAGUUACAGCUUAAUUGCAUGACCCCGUAGGCUGACACCCAAGGAGUGCUCGUGGUAGGUGGUGACAUUCAGAACAAAGCAAAAAAGCAAAUACAGUGAAGACUGCAGUUCACACAGGAAGGGAAAGCAGACCAUGUGAAAAGAAAGAUGUCAUUCUAUCAUACAGUUGUCACACAUGUUCUUGUUUACAAAUCUCUAGGGAGAAAGAAUAAACCAGAAGAGAAGAAAACAACCAGUAUCUUUCUCACCAAAGCUCCUGGAGAAUCUCCUUGUUAAAACCAAGCAAACACCUUUCAGCAAGGCUAGUGUGCUAGACAGCAUCACCAGCCACUGGGGAAAUUGGAAGGCACCUUCAAUCUUCUGGAUAUUCCAUAUUUGGGAAUAUCUACUGCAACAGAAACUGGCCAAAAGCAGCAAUUUUAUGGCAGGUAUUCAGACCUCACCAUACGCUACCAAAUACACCUGGUCCAGGGAAUAAUCCUUUUUGUCACACAUAAUUGUAUUGUGGAGUUACAGGAAAUUGGUUGGACAGAGAAUUUCUACCCAGCUCCCAGCUCUGUCUCCUAUGAUGCUUCAAAUCAGGUUUAAUUAUUCCUUUUUUUUUUUUUUUCCUGGCAGGAUGUUGUGAUGGUUUUAUGCCAAAAGGUUUGAAGAAAACUCACUUUUAAUGCAGCAUUUAUGGCAUGGCUUUUAGAUAUUUUACUGUUUACUUGAAACAAUAUUUGGACAUUUUGUUAUCCACUUUGGAAAACUAUUUUAUAUACAUUUCACAGUACAUCCAUCUUAAGGAAUGUCUUAAAGAAAUUACUGUAACUUAAGGAGCCAACAAACAAUAGAUAUAAAAAUGAUGUGUGCAUAAAUAAGACAAUGGAGAGCUUAGAAAAUAAUUCCAUCAGUCUAUAUCAUCUUUUUCCAGACCAAUGUUUUAAAAGAGCAGCACCUUUUUCUUUGUGACAAGGCUUUUCUCCGUGCCUAAUAAGAUUCUUCUAUGUCCUAGGAGUAACCCAUGCAAUUUGAAGAAACAGGUGAAAGACAAAAAGAUAAUAUAAUGAAAGUCAUAGACUGACAGGGAAAGAAAGAGUCUGUAAAGCAGAGUUGUCAUAUUACCAUAAUUUCUGUCACUGAUCUAAUAUAGAACAUGGUUCUUCAAAAUAUUCACCACAUUUUCAGUACAUGAGCCAAUCCUUCUUUCUUAGGAAAUGUGUUUAUUGCUUGUGUAGUUACUAAGAUUCAAGCACACACUUCAGAUGCUUUCCUAAGUGAGAUUACAGUAGGAAACAGUAGAUUCUAGAGAUCUUGCUUCAAGUGUUUCCACUUCUAAUUAUACCUCCACUCCCUCUCUUCAGAAACCAUUAUUAUUCAGUAAUAAAUUCCUCCAGAGAUUUCUUGGAGGGUUUUUUAAGGAUAAAUGCUAUAGAAGGGCAGAUGUGUGCCAUGUCAGCUGGCUGUAAAAGCAUUGCUGGCAGGAACUGAAGUUUAGAACAAGAACUGCAUCCUCACAUAUCACAGGAGAAGACAACGUUUUUGGUAUCUGGGCAAGUUCAUUUUAAAACUGAGGAAGCUGUUUAUGUAAAAAGCACUAAAAUACUAUAAGUGACCACAAAACACACUUUCUCAAAUUAAACAUUCUGAGCUAGCUUCAGAUUUAAACAAAAUUUCCAACUAUUGCUCUAUGGAAUAUGACAAACUCAGUGGUGCUGACCACUUCCAGUCACCUAAGUGGUGUGGGAAAAACAGAAGGGAUCAGGAUUUCUUUUUCCAGGUGUCACCCCACACCCUAACUUUGCAAACUCUUCAAACUUUUUAAAAUAGAAAUGAUAAUGUGUCUUAUCUAUCUCCUUCUCAUUCUGCAGCUAAACCAGUUUGAUGAUCUUACAUGUUUUGGCUCUUUUCUCCUUGCUUGCAGUGUGGAAGAAUGGGGAUAUGUGGCUUCUUUGGGGCAUGGAAAGAGCUGACAGAAAUGUUUCCUCUCCAGCUUGACAUUAUCCCUAGGAAUAUUCUGUUCCACAUCACCUGAGGGACAAGCUGAGUGUCUCUGAGCCCCCAGGGUUUCUGUCUCCUAUCAAGCACUGAGAGCACAGCUGAAAUUCUGGAGCACAGGCAGCCCCAGACACCCCCACACUGCAGUUUGAGUGCUGCUGCACUUUCCUUGGGCAGGAUUUGGUACCACAAGAGUGCAGAGUCUGGAAGAGAGACCUGAAGUGCUUACAGCAGGCUGCAUUGCUAAACAGCCACUCACAUGCCACGAGCCACUGUCUUGUGUUUCCAGUCAGCUGAAAUUACAAUUCCUGUGCCUGGAACACAAAGGUCUUCAGCACAAGGACAGCAGAACAAUCUCACCAUGUUCUGGUGGGCUUUCCACAAACCACUUGGCAGUAGCUUUAUUCCUUCCUGUGCAAAUGUUCAGGUUAACCUCAGCAAGCAUGAGCUUUGAAUACCUGCUCUGGGAGUCCAUACUACCCAUGGAGAAAAGGAUUUCUAGUUAAAAUUGCACUGUGGGCAGGACACACUCGAUUCCUCUCCCUCUGUGCAUGGGCUAGAGGAGAUGUGGUUUGAACACUUCCAAUUCUGGAAACUUACUUAGGGUCCUCAGUCAGAAAUCAUAAAGCCAGUCCUGAAUGCUGCUAUUGACAAUAAAAUAAAAUAAAAUAAAAUAAAAUAAAAUAAAAUAAAAUAAAAUAAAAUAAAAUAAAAUAAAAUAAAAUAAAAUAAAAUAAAAUAAAAUAAAAUAAAAUAAAAUAAAAUAAAAUAAAAUAAAAUAAAAUAAAAAUCAGGCUGCAUGUACGUGCUGAAACGAAAGUUUGCAGUUCUGUCCAGUGACAGAGAACCAUGAGAACUCUUAUAUCAGUUGCAUUUGGACAAAGCAGAGGAACACUCCUUCCUAGUGAUAGAGAAGACAUUUGUAGCCUCCAUCUGCUGCUGAACACACCAGCCAGGCUUUCAGCCUUUUGCUCUCUGUAGGGAGCUGGUACAAGUCAGUCACCUUGGACUGAGACAGAUCAAAGGUCUCCAAGUCUGGAAUCCUUUCCAGCACCCCUCAGGGACCAGCACUGAGCCAGCCAGGAGUUAACACACAGUGCUUCCAGCAUGUUUGCCAUUCCAGGAAUCCCUUUUCUUUUGCAUGAACACCCAUAAACAUCCACACCUGUACAGUCUGGCUCUGACAUACCCAUUCAGCACUCUGCCUCGUGUUUCCCCAGCCUCUCCCUCAGCUUUUGUGGGCAAAGCACCCUGUGCACCCAGGCGUUCUGCAGAGCCACACUCUGAGCCUGCUGAGCCUGUCAAAACAACUCUGUUGUUGUGGUAGCCAAGAAUAUAGGGUUUUUUCUCCACUGGGAAAGUCUCAGACACACGAGGUGGUUUCUGAGUUUUAAAUUGUACUGGACACAGGAGGUUUUACAGAGGGUCACCCACUACUGAUUAAAGAGAACAGCUUGCCUUCUGUGCUAUAAUUCAAUCCAUUGUUCCUGUACCUCCACUUGCUAGGCCUGUUAUUACCUUUUUCCCAACCCUUUUCUACAACAUCCUUCUCUCUACAGAUCUAAUUCAACUACUUUUGCUAAUGCCAUUAUAUGAUUUUCUUCUGAAUAGGGAAAAUGUUUUGAUUAAAAACCUUGACAUUAUGUUCAGGAUAAUCUACCAACCAGUUUCUCAGAUGACAGCUGAUAGAAGGCAGCAUGUAUCUAAAGAGUUUACAAUCAUAUCCCUGUGUUAUCUUAAUUAAUGCAGUAAGACCUGUGCAUAGAAUUCACUCUCUUCAUAAUAUAUUGACAGCUGACCUCAUUCCUCCAUGGCAUUUUUAAAAUGCAUUUAUUGUGCUGCAGUGUGAAAACUUAUAGAGAAACCCUCUAUUACAGAGGAAAUUCACAUAUUGUAAUAUUUACUUAUAAUAAUUAGUCUCAAGGUGUUCUGAAAGAUACAACCAAAGGAAUAGAAUGAGAGUCCAUGAAGACAACAAUUGAGUGUGCUGCAAAACAUAUGCUUGUGGUAUUUAUCAUGCUUUUCAUGCAUGAAAGGGAAAUAAAGGCCUUCUACAUCAA